UACGUAGGGGGCAAGCGUUGUCCGGAUUUAUUGGGCGUAAAGAGCGUGUAGGCGGUUUGGUAGGUCCGUUGUGAAAACUCGAGGCUCAACCUCGAGACGCCGAUGGAAACCAUCAGACUAGAGUCCGGAAGAGGAGAGUGGAAUUCCUGGUGUAGCGGUGAAAUGCGCAGAUAUCAGGAAGAACACCCGUGGCGAAGGCGGCUCUCUGGAACGCAACUGACGCUGAGACGCGAAAGCGUGGGGAGCAAACAGG
rnacentral:rRNA from 1 species